rnacentral:misc_RNA from 1 species
UACGGAGAACCCAAGCGUUACCCGGAAUCACUGGGCGUAAAGAGUUGCGUAGGCGGUUUAGCAAGUCGGCCGUGAAAGCCUAAGGCUCAACCUUAGGAUUAUGGCUGAUACUGCUUAACUUGAGGAUGGUAGAGGCAGGUGGAAUUGCUGGUGUAGGAGUGAAAUCCGUAGAUAUCAGCAGGAACACCAAUGGCGUAGGCAGCCUGCUGGGCCAUUCCUGACGCUGAGGCACGAAAGCGUGGGUAGCGAACCGG